CACGUAGGGUGCGAGCUUUGUCCGGAAUUAUUGGGCGUAAAGAGCUCGUAGGCGGUGUGUCGCGUCGGCCGUGAAAACCUGCAGCUUAACUGUGGGCUUGCGGUCGAUACGGCCAUCACUGGAGUUCGGCAGGGGAGACUGGAAUUCCUGGUGUAGCGGUGAAAUGCGCAGAUAUCAGGAGGAACACCGGUGGCGAAGGCGGGUCUCUGGGCCGAUACUGACGCUGAGGAGCGAAAGCGUGGGGAGCGAACAGG
rnacentral:rRNA from 1 species